rnacentral:lncRNA from 1 species
UUCUCUCCUCCCCCCACAGCGUUCCACAAGGCAGGCUGACAGAGCGAUGCUGUGAAGGUGUUGAAGCAGCUUACCCACAAUGCCGUGGUGGAGAGCAGGUUUAAUGAGGCCGCGUAUUAUUACUGGAUACUAUCUAUGCGGUGUUUGGACAUCACUAGGGGACCUGAUCCCCAUGUGUUACUGCUGCUCCACCAACAACCCCCCUGCUGAACAGGGUAGUGUGUGAAUCAACUGCAAACAGCCCUUGAUCUUCACAGCAUCAUCAUACGGUCCUACCUCUGUCGCAGUUCUACCUGGACGAGGGUAUUGGUGAUGAGGAGGCUGUGUCUGUCAUUGUCCUGGAGGUCCCUCGCAUCGACAGGAAGGCCGCAAUGUUCCACAGUGAGGACUAUGAGCUGCUGGAGCUUCAGCUUAACUGCUAUCUCUACUGCUGACGGCCGAUCGAUGAACCCAAUUGACCUCCGCAAACUGGUUUAGAAUCACUUAUUCCAUCUCCCAGUUUAUUAAUAUAUUUAUUUAUAUAUUUUAUCAUAUUUAUGUUAGAUUGUAUGCUGAUCUGGAAUCAGUUUCAUGGCUUUCAUCGAAAGUCCAGUCUGAUUGUAGACUGUGUGAAAAAGGAGUUGGAGUCAGUUUCACUCUUGCUCUUCUGAGGAAUUGUCCGCCCAUAUGCUCACACCCCUCAUGUACACUACCGUUCAAAAGUUUGUGGUCACUUAGACAUUUCCUUGUUUUUGAAAGAAAAGCUCAAAAAAAUGUCCAUUAAAAUAACAUCAAAUUGAUCAGAAAUACGGCGUAGACAUUGUUAAUUUUGUAAAUGACUAUUGUAGCUGGAAAUGGCUUAUUCUUUAUGGAAUAUCUACAUAGGCGUACAGAGGUCCAUUAUCAGCAACCAUCACUCCUGUGUUCCAAUGGCACGUUGUGUUCGCUAAUCCAAGUUUAUCAUUUUAAAAGGCUAAUUGAUCAUUAGAAAACAAUUUUACAAUUGUGUUAGCACAGCUGAAAACUGUUGUGCUGAUAAAAAGUAGCAAUAAAACUGGCCUUUAGACUAGUUGAGUAUCUGGAGCAUCAGCAUUUGUGGGUUUGAUUAUAGGCUCAAAAUGGCCAGAAACAAAGACCUUUCUUCUGAAACUCGUCAGUCUAUUCUUGUUCUGAGAAAUGAAGGCUAUUCCAUACGAAAAAUUGCCAAGAAACUGAAGAUCUCGUACAACACUGUGUACUACUCUCUUCACCGAACAGCGUAAACUAGCUCUAACUAGAAUAGAAAGAGGAGUGGGAGGCCCCGGUGCACAACUGAGCAAGACGACAAGUACAUUAGAGUGUCUAGUUUGAGAAACAGAUGCCUCACAAGUCCUCAACUGGCAGCUUCAUUAAAUAGUACCCGCAAAACACCAGUCUCAACGUCAACAGUGAAGAGGCGACUGCGAUCCCGGUUAAAUGUUAAAUGUUGAGGGGUGGUAGGUAGCCUAGUGAUUAGAGCGAAAGGUUGCUAGAUCAAAUCCCCGAGCUGACAAAGUAAAAAUGUCAUUCUGUCCCUGAACAAGGCAGUUAACUUAGGCCGUCAUUGUAAAUAAGAAUUUGUUCUAAACUGACUUGCCUAGUUAAAGAAAAAAAAUGUCUACACUAUUUCUGAUCAAUUUGAUGUUAUUUUAAUGGACAAAAAAUGAGCUGCUUUUCUUUCAAAAAAAGUCUAAGUCUAAAAAAAGUCUAAGUGACCCUAAACUUUUGAACGGUAGUGUACGUUAUUUGAGUGACGAGGUCAUGACGAUCAUUAUAGUCUGCAAUAAAAGUGCGUCUUUAGCCGAUCAACCCAAUAGGAUUAACAGGAUCAGAUUACACAGAGCCUAUCACACAGAUUUAUACCAACAGGGAAUGUAGACUGUCCAUGAAAUAACUGUCUGGAACAUGAUAUAUAGAAAAGGGUUUGACACGUCGGUCUGCAUAAGCAGACUGGUACAGUAGCCUCUUGACAUCGAGGAUAAUGUAAAUCUCUGAUACCAUUUUUCCUAGUACACUACUUUUGCCAGAGUCAUAUGUGCUAUUUGAGAAGAAGUCUAUAAAUUGCAUUGGUCUUCGUCAGCCUCCUGUAACACUCUCUCCUUAGCAAACUUGUUUAUGUCACACUUGUGAUGAUGAAAUCAUCAGAGGAUAACCCUUGAGUAUACAGUAU